GCCUGCGUGCGGGGUGGCUGUGCUGUGAGCGGGAACCCGGAGGUACCCCAGCACGGUGGCUCUCAGCGGCGGCUUCCAUGGUGCUCCGUGGUGUGCUGGCCCACAAAAUCCAAAUGGCGCCUUCACAGUGUAGUGUAAGAAGUGCUCUGAUGCUGGCGUAGGGGCAUGACGUCACAUUCCUUAGAAAAUGGAAUGAUCUUGAGUGGGUUUGUCUCAGAGGCCUGAGCGCUUCACUCUGGCCAGCGCUUCACAUCCAAAGCCAGAAGUUGGCUCCAGCCAGAGUCCUGUGAGUACAGCUCAGACAGCAGCAGAGGUGAAGUUCCCUGUCACGCAGUCACAGGCAGUAGAACUCAGUCACAUCCAUGCCUGACUGCGAGCGGGACUGGAAAGUGCCCCGAGGAAACUCCAGGACUCCAACACAACUAAAGGGAGCAUAGAUAUUAGACAGGUAAAGGAGAUGAGCAGUGUUGCUCUGGUACCCAGAGACGCUUCCAGGCACUCCUGGGUUGCACGAUAGAUUACGUAAUUCUACUGAUGGGCACCAGCUCCAUGCCAGGCCCCAGGGCUCCAAAGCCAUUUCCAGGAGAAAUGCAGGCUCCAAGAGCAAGUACCAUGAAUGGCUUCACCACAGCUGCGCUUUCUUCACAUUGGCUCCUGUGAGCUUCCGCAAAGCUUCCAAAGCUGGCCCCGCUUCUCUCCCCUCUGCAGAGUGAACAUUGAGGCCUGUGCGGUCCCUGCCACGCCUGUCUCCUCCUCCCAGCAGGAGUGUGAGCUCUGCGCUGCGGUCAAGGCCAGACCUUGGCAGCCCAUGUGCUUGGCUCCCCCAGCUUAGCCUCAGGAUGUGGGUCCUCAGUUUGCACUGUGCAGCAUCGGGGGCCACACUGCAGUCAAGCCAGCUGGGUACAAACGGCAGCUCUUCCUCUACUCGGCGGCCCUCCUCGGGAAGGUCCCUCUGCCCCUGCGACUUCAUUUCCUCAUUCAUAACAAAGAAACAUGGAACAGAUUAUAUUGCUUGUUGUAAGAAU